AAUGAACGCUGGCGGCGUGCUUAACACAUGCAAGUCGUACGAGAAACCCCGGCUUGCCGGGGGAGUAAAGUGGCGCACGGGUGAGUAACGCGUGGGUAAUCUACCCUCGAAUUGGGGAUAACACACCGAAAGGUGUGCUAAUACCGAAUAAGACCACGAUCCCCACGGGGAUUGCGGUCAAAGAUGGCCUCUGCUUGCAAGCUGUCGUUUGAGGACGAGCCCGCGUACCAUUAGCUUGUUGGUGGGGUAAUGGCCUACCAAGGCAACGAUGGUUAGCUGGUCUGAGAGGAUGGCCAGCCACACUGGAACUGAAACACGGUCCAGACACCUACGGGUGGCUG
rnacentral:rRNA from 1 species